rnacentral:lncRNA from 1 species
CAGGUAGCUUUUAUGAAUGAGUUUGAUCUAGACGUUGUAUGAUUAUAUAUUUUUGAUAGAUGUGUAUUGAGAUUAUAUGAUCAUACAUACUGUUAUCUAGUUAAUUUGUUGCAAGUACAGGUGUCACAAAAGAUCUAUGUUAUUUCCUAUUCAGACAUGCAAAGUUAAUGGUAAUAUGUUUGGUCAAAAUUUGAAAUGUGAACUUUUCUUAUAUUCUCUUCAGCUGAAAAUGAUACAUGGUUCAGCUGAAAAUGAUACAUGGUUUCACGAGCCAAAAUCUAAGGACUUGAAUGAAUCAUAGCAGUGUAAGUAAGUUAAUUAAGCAGCAAGCAUUUAGGUGAUUUUGAUUUAAAUAAGAAAGAAAAAGAAACCUGUAGUCUUCUUGUCCAAGUGAAUUGAAGUAGCUUGUAUGAGUCAUUGUUUACAUCCUCCAAUGUCUUUGUGUGUACCUAUUAAGCUUUAGCUAGCAGACUUUAGUUUUAAUGAUGAUCCAAUAAUUUAAGCUAUGAAAAUUGUUUCUUGCAUACUUUCAAAGAUCUAUAGAGUAUCCUAGUCUGGUUCUUACUAUAUUCAUAAUCAACUUCUUUGUUUUUUACCUUUAUCCUUUUUUACAUACAUACAUAUAUAGUUUAUGUUACCUAUAGCAUG